GACGAACGCUGGCGGCGUGCUUAACACAUGCAAGUCGAACGGUGAAGCGCCUUCCUUUUUGGUGGGUGUGGAUGAGUGGCGAACGGGUGAGUAACACGUGAGUAACCUGCCCCCUUCUUCUGGAUAACCGCAUGAAAGUGUGGCUAAUACGGGAUAUUCUGGGUCUGUCGCAUGAUGGGUCUGGGAAAGAUAUUGUUUCGGUGGGGGAUGGGCUCGCGGCCUAUCAGCUUGUUGGUGGGGUGAUGGCCUACCAAGGCGGUGACGGGUAGCCGGCCUGAGAGGGUGGACGGGCACACUGGGACUGAGACACGGCCAAGACUCGUACGGGAGGCAGCAGUGGGGAAUAUUGCACAAUGGGCGCAAGCAUGAUGCAGCGACGCCGCGGGAGGGAUGGAGGCCUGCGGGUUGUGAACCUCUUUCGCCAGUGAAGCAGGCCUGCCUCGUUUGUGGGUGGGUUGACGGUAGCUGGAGAAGAAGCGCCGGCUAACUACGUG
rnacentral:rRNA from 1 species